UGGGGAAUAUUGCACAAUGGGCGCAAGCCUGAUGCAGCCAUGCCGCGUGUGUGAAGAAGGCCUUCGGGUUGUAAAGCACUUUCAGCGGGGAGGAAGGCGUUAAGGUUAAUAACCUUGGCGAUUGACGUUACCCGCAGAAGAAGCACCGGCUAACUCCGUGCCAGCAGCCGCGGUAAUACGGAGGGUGCAAGCGUUAAUCGGAAUUACUGGGCGUAAAGCGCACGCAGGCGGUCUGUCAAGUCGGAUGUGAAAUCCCCGGGCUCCACCUGGGAACUGCCUUCCGAACUGGCCGGCUAGACUCCUGUAGAGGGGGGUAGAAUUCCAGGUGUAGCGGUGAAAUGCGUAGAGAUCUGGAGGACUACCGGUGGCGAAGGCGGCCCCCUGGACAAAGACUGACGCUCAGGUGCGAAAGCGUGGGGAGCAAACAGG
rnacentral:rRNA from 1 species